rnacentral:tRNA from 1 species
GGACUGUAGCUCAGUGGCAGAGCACUUGCCUAGCAUGCGUGAGGCACUGGGUUUGAUCCUCAGCACCA